rnacentral:tRNA from 1 species
UCCCUGGUGGUCCAGCGGUUAGAACUCUGCGCUUCCACUGCAGGAGGCGUGGGUUAGAUCCUCAGCUGGGGAA